rnacentral:rRNA from 1 species
UACAGAGGUCUCAAGCGUUGUUCGGAUUCAUUGGGCGUAAAGGGUGCGUAGGCGGCGCGGUAAGUCGGGUGUGAAAUCUCGGAGCUUAACUCCGAAACUGCAUUCGAUACUGCCGUGCUUGAGGACUGGAGAGGAGACUGGAAUUUACGGUGUAGCGGUGAAAUGCGUAGAUAUCGUAAGGAACGCCGGUGGCGAAAGCGGCGGGCUGGACCUCUUCUGACGCUGAGGCGCGAAAGCCAGGGGAGCAAACGGG